UGCCCAUGAUGCAUCUCAAAUGUACGUAUUAUCAGAUAUAAAUUCUGAUGAAAUCUAAUUGUCACUACCUCUGAGGCA
rfam:Citrus clementina cultivar Clemenules unplaced genomic scaffold scaffold_3, whole genome shotgun sequence.